rnacentral:rRNA from 1 species
AUUGAACGCUGGCGGCAGGCCUAACACAUGCAAGUCGAGCGGAUGAAGGGAGCUUGCUCCUGGAUUCAGCGGCGGACGGGUGAGUAAUGCCUAGGAAUCUGCCUGGUAGUGGGGGAUAACGUCCGGAAACGGGCGCUAAUACCGCAUACGUCCUGAGGGAGAAAGUGGGGGAUCUCCGGACCUCACGCUAUCAGAUGAGCCUAGGUCGGAUUAGCUAGUUGGUGGGGUAAAGGCCUACCAAGGCGACGAUCCGUAACUGGUCUGAGAGGAUGAUCAGUCACACUGGAACUGAGACACGGUCCAGACUCCUACGGGAGGCAGCAGUGGGGAAUAUUGGACAAUGGGCGAAAGCCUGAUCCAGCCAUGCCGCGUGUGUGAAGAAGGUCUUCGGAUUGUAAAGCACUUUAAGUUGGGAGGAAGGAAAGUAAGUUAAUACCUUGCUGUUUUGACGUUACCAACAGAAUAAGCACCGGCUAACUUCGUG